AGAGCAGAGAGGAUCAGCUCUUCACAAGAAAGCAAGAAAAUUUAACAAGAUAACUAGCAUGGGUGAUGAAUGUAUUGACAUUAGAGGUAAAGAUGAUCAAUUUGCAAUCCAACCCAUAAGGAGAUCUUUUUCAAUGGAUUCAUCAGCAGAUCGGCAGCUGUACUUAUCAAUUCAAGAGAUUGUUCAGCAGAGCAGGCAAGUAAUUACUGAG
rnacentral:misc_RNA from 1 species